rnacentral:snRNA from 1 species
GUGCUUACUUUGGCAGCAUGUAUACUAAAAUUUUAAUGAUAUGGAGAAAGUUAGCAUGGGCCUGUAUAAUGAUGACACACUAAUUUGUGAAGCGUUCUACAUUAAA